GCAUUGUUUGAAGAAGAUUUCAUCACAGAGACUCGUGCAUAAUUUGCAAGCAAAACAAUAGUUUCACCCGUUGUAAUCUUAGCAGUUGUGUCAGAACUUGUGACAAUUGCUGUAAGGCCGAUGGGACAGUAAUCUUUACCAUAUUAGACUGUCAACGGUAGCAAAGUUUUAUGCCGUUGAUUUAAUUUGGAACGUACAUUUAUUAAUUUUUUGAAACGCACUGUUUUGUCAAUAUGUAUAACAUGAAAUCUUCCUAGAUGCGUUAAGUACACAUUGAUGACUUCUUUAGUAAACUGAAUGCA